rnacentral:rRNA from 1 species
UACGUAGGGGGCGAGCGUUGUCCGAAGUUACUGGGCGUAAAGCGCGCGUAGGCGGUCUAUUAAGUCUGAGGUGAAAGGUCCAACGCUCAACGUGAACAGUGCCUUGGAUACUGGUAGACUUGAGUGUGGCAGAGGAGUAUGGAAUUCCUGGUGUAGCGGUGAAAUGCGUAGAUAUCAGGAGGAAUACCGAUGGCGAAGGCAGUACUCUGGGCUAACACUGACGCUGAG